GUAGGGAAUAUUGGUCAAUGGACGAAAGUCUGAACCAGCCAUUCCGCGUGCAGGAAGAAGAUUCUAUGGAUUGUAAACUGCUUUUAGCAGAGAAGAAACGCCUUCAUUGAUGAGGGUUUGACGGUAUCUGCGGAAUAAGCACCGGCUAACUCCGUGCCAGCAGCCGCGGUAAUACGGGGGGUGCAAGCGUUAUCCGGAAUCACUGGGUUUAAAGGUUGCGUAGCCGGGAACUUAAGUCAGUGGUGAAAGUCUGUUGCUUAACGAUAGAAUUGCCGUUGAUGCUGAUUUUCUUGAAUUGGGUUGAGGUUAGCGGAAUGGGACAUGUAGCGGUGAAAUGCAUAGAUAUGUCAUGGAACACCAAUUGCGAAGGCAGCUAGCUGGGCAUUGAUUGACGCUGAGGCACGAAAGCGUGGGUAGCGAACAGGAUUAGAAACCCGGGUAGUCC
rnacentral:rRNA from 1 species